rnacentral:piRNA from 1 species
UGAUCACACACAGUUGCUGAUUGUCAGC